rnacentral:rRNA from 1 species
GCGCAGCAGUCGCGAAACCUCCGCAAUACACGAAAGUGUGACGGGGCCAUCCCGAGCGCCGUCCGCUGAGGACGGCUUUUCCCCAGUGUACACAGCUGGGGGAAUAAGGAGAGGGCAAGCCUGGUGUCAGCCGCCGCGGUAAUACCAGCUCUCCGAGUGGUGGGGACGCUUAUUGGGCCUAAAGCAUCCGUAGCCGGCUGGGCAAGUCCUCCGUUAAAUCCAACGAUUCAAUCGUUGGGCUGCGGGGGAUACUGUCCAGCUUGGGGGCGGGAGAGGCCGACGGUAUUCCCGGGGUAGGGGUGAAAUCCUAUAAUCCCGGGAGGACCACCAGUGGCGAAGGCUGUCGGCUAGAACGCGCCCGACGGUGAGGGAUGAAAGCUGGGGGGAGCGAACCGGAUUGGAUA